UGGGGAAUUUUGGACAAUGGGCGAAAGCCUGAUCCAGCAAUGCCGCGUGUGUGAAGAAGGCCUUCGGGUUGUAAAGCACUUUUGUCCGGAAAGAAAUCCUUGGCUCUAAUACAGUCGGGGGAUGACGGUACCGGAAGAAUAAGCACCGGCUAACUACGUGCCAGCAGCCGCGGUAAUACGUAGGGUGCAAGCGUUAAUCGGAAUUACUGGGCGUAAAGCGUGCGCAGGCGGUUUGCUAAGACCGAUGUGAAAUCCCCGGGCUCAACCUGGGAACUGCAUUGGUGACUGGCAGGCUAGAGUAUGGCAGAGGGGGGUAGAAUUCCACGUGUAGCAGUGAAAUGCGUAGAGAUGUGGAGGAAUACCGAUGGCGAAGGCAGCCCCCUGGGCC
rnacentral:rRNA from 1 species